UGUUCCCCUUGUGCAGUGAUAACUGCAGAUAAACGUUUGGGGUAAGUGUUGAUCAUCUGCACAUCGGCUCGGAGGAGUUUUAUCCCGUUCCUCAGUACAGAACAGCUUCAGCUCUGGGAUGUUGGUGUGUUUCCUCACAUGAACUGCUCGCUUCAGGUUCUUCCACAACAUCUCUACUGGAUUUCCAGAGCAUUAUCCACAUGCUCAUACGUCUGCACACGGUGCAGUUCCUCUAUUCCUAUUUCCCAUUUUACAGCCACAAUCACACUCUGAAGAAUUUCAGAUCAGAUCUGUAAGGACAUGUCAGCAAUGUGGGUUCUUGCUUUAGCUGGUCUCUUGCUUCACAGCUCCGUACACACAGCUCGCAGUGACAUAUCCAAUAAGAAUGGCACAGAGGGGAGUGACACACUUCUCUUCUGUGUAAAUGAUGGUAAAGUGGUGUGGAGUAAAGGUGUUGAUGGAGGGAGAAGGGACAUCCUCACUGCUGAACGUGGAGAAAUCAUCAUUAAACACAGUCCUGAUCCAGAUAACAGAUACGCUGUGUUAAGUGAUUUAUCACUCCAUAUAAAGAAUCUGUCUCUCUCAGACUCGGGGGUUUACUACUGUAACGCUGUUCCUGUGGUCAAUCUGACUGUCACUCCGUCACAGAGUAGCACCGGCGAGACAGAGAAAGGUUCCGCUGGAAAAGACUCAGGGACCAAAAGUGAUGAUGGUGAUGGUGAUGAUGAGAAAGAUGAUGAUGAUGAUGAUGGUGUAAAAGAGUGGAUCGUCGCUGCUGUAGUGGGUGUGAGCUGUGUGGUGCUGUUGCUUCUGUCAAUAUGGGGAUUUUUCACUAAAAGGAAAGCAGCUCAACAGAACCACACAGUACACACAGUACACAUGUGUGACUCCGUUAUCAACCUUCCAGCAGACCCACAACCUGGAUGUAGUGUUACACACAUCUAUGACGUUACUAACGAGCCUCCGGAAGCCCCACGGUGUGCUGAUCAGCAGAGAGAGUGCGAUGCUGUGUAUUUCCUGGCACAAAGUCCAGCGUCCAACACUACAGGUGAUCAGGAGAGAGAGGGCGAGGCUGUAUAUUUCCUGGCAACACAUCCAACGUCCAACACUACAGAAGGGGACCAAGUUGGACCGCUUUACACCAAGGUCCAGAAGCCCAGAAAUAACACCUGAAGUUUGUCGUUAUAUGAUUAUUAAUAAUAAAUACAGCUGCAGCUCUAAUCUACUGUGGUUAGUUAUUAAUAAUUAGAUGCCGUAAUCGUGUUACGUUACAGUUUUUCUUUAAUGAAUUCAUCUUACACGUAAUCCCAUGUACGCAUUUCUGUGUACUUUUCUGUAUUAGCAAUAAAAGUUGCCACACACUGUUCACUUCCUGUUUUGGUGAAUCAUCUGGAAACUUCUGCAUCCUGCAGUGUUUUGUGUAAUUAUUUCAUCUAAUUAUAGACUAUGACACACAACCUCAUUUUUGGCAGCGAUUUGUGUGUUUGUGUUGUGAGAGUUGUUCACGAGUCCCUCGUUCGUCCUGAGCGGUUAAACCGCCCGCUGUUCUUCAGAAAAAUCCUCCAGGUCCUGAACGUUCUUUACUUUUCCAGCAUCUUCUGCAUAUUUGAUCCCGAUCAUCCUGUUCAAAAGUUUACACCCCCCGGCUGUUAAUGUAUUCAUCGUGUUGCCUUCUUGAUCAUCAGUGAAUGUUUGGACCUCAUGUAAUAGUCGUGUACGAGUCCCUCAGUCGUCCUCAGUCUGAAAAGACGGAUCUGAACAUCAUAUAGCUGCUGCUGGAAGAGGACUCAAAUGUGCAGAAGAUGCUGCAAAAGUAAAGAAUGUGCAGGACCUGGAGGAUUUUUCGGAAGAACAGCAGGCAGUGAAAGAACAGUGGGUUUUACUGAAAAAAGAAUUAUGAAUGAAAAGACUCUGAAACUUGUUUUUUUCUGAAUUAUAAACAAUGCAAAACAAUGUGCAUUUCUGUCUGUAUAAAAAUAAUAAAUAAAACAGCGGUUUAAUGUUGGAAAUGUAUUAAGGGUUCAACAUACCUUAAAAAUAAAUAAAUACUUUUAUAAAUUCUCCCAAAAAUGUGAUUGAAUAAACGGAGUCUCUGAUCUGGGGAAAGAUCGAAUGAAACACAAUGAGCUCCGUAGCAGCGUCUCUGAGGCGUCGUUGUACCGGAAAUAGAGCUCCAAAGUCGCUAAAAUGCCGGAUUACGCUGCGGAUCAGUGGUGCGGAGUGGGUUAGGGUCAGGGUUUACAGUGCAGUUGCAUCAGAUGCAUCAGAAUCAUUUCCAUG
ensembl:lncRNA